UCUGAGAGCCGGCCUGACCCUGCUCUGCUGUGAGAACCCCCACUCCUGUGCCCUUCACCCACAGCCCCUGGCAUGUCAACUGCUCCCAGCUACGUGCAAGCCAAUAUCUCCUCUCCCAGAAACAGCCCUAGGAGCCUCCCUCUUGCAGUGUCCAGUUAUGCCCACUAGACUCUGCCAGCUUGUAUAAAUUUGUCAAUUUAAUAAAGAAAUUAUUAUGUACCAGGCUUGUUCUCUGAAGGGGAGAUUCUGACACACUGCAAACCAAACGCACUGCUUCAGGUAGAAUAAACAAACAGAUUUAUUAGCUAUAAAGGUAGAUUUUUAAGUGAUUAUAAGUCAAAGCAGGGAGCUGUUCAUUCCUCCCGGGGGUGCAAAAGUAUCAGCAGGACCCCAGCGAUCUGUGCCCGGCGCUGCAGAGACACACAGGAAGGGAAGGUCUGACGCCUGCACCCUGAGCCUUGGGGAGAGUCAAUCCGACCACUGGCAGCAGGAGUGUGUGUCUCUUAUAAAGCGGGGCAUGCAAAUGAGGGAGACAGUUUCCUCUUUAAAUCUCUGCCUCUCUCUGCCCAGGCUACACCCGGAGACACAAUCCGCAGCCCCCUGGGUCGGUGCAGUCACCAGCCAGUCCCCUGAGAACUUUCCCCUUCAGCACCCGGCAAAAUGGGAUUUUUGCUCCUUGUCAUUGUCGCUGUAGCAGCUCUGGAAGGUGUCCGGUCCCAGACGCUGGUGGAGUCCGGAGGGGGUGUGAAGAAGCCCGGAGACUCUCUCCGCCUCUCCUGCAAAGCCUCCGGGUUCACCUUCAGCAGCUACUCGAUGAGCUGGGUCCGCCAGGCUCCCGGGAAGGGGCUGGAAUGGGUCGCUUAUAUAAACCCCGGUGGGGGUACUACAUACUACCUCGAUGCAGUGAAAGGGCGAUUCACCAUCUCCAGGGAUAACGCCAAGAGUGAGCUGUAUCUGCAAAUGACCGGCCUGAAGCCCGAGGACACCGCCCGCUAUUACUGUGCGAGUUACACAGUGACACCAAACCGGUUUGUGAUCGUACAAAAACCCAGGCUGCGGAAUCGCCCUUCUCCCGGCGGCCGCGCGGGGGCAGCAGCGGCACCCCCCGCUUCGGGCUCGGGCAGGAGACCCGGCACCCGGGGGAACGGGACACAAACCUCCCGCCAGUUUAACCCUUCCGUUCCCGGGCAACGUGUCUCCCCUUCCUGCCCAGAGCCCCGCUGAGUGCAGA